rnacentral:rRNA from 1 species
AUGGCUGGUGUGGACACUUUGAGAUGUGGGUACAUAUGGAGAAUUGGAUAUGGAGAAAAGGUGAAUAUAUGGGAGGACUCGUGGAUCCCUCGAUCACCAACAAAAAAAGUCUUGACCAUCCAAGGAUCUUCAGUACGGGAUGAGAAGUGGAACUUGAUUUGGAAUCUAGAAUGGCCAACCAAGGCUAAAGUUCCUAUAGAAGCUUGGCAGAAGCCGCCGCCGGGAUACAUGAAAUUAAACAUAGACACUGGAUUUGACCAAGAUUUACUUGAAGGAUUUGUGGGGGCAGUUAUUCAUGGUCACAACGAGAAAUUGAUAGUGGCAGCUAAUGAAAGAAUAUACAUAUGCUAUGAUUCUUUCAUAGCAGAAGCUUUGGCAGUUAGGUUUGGGCUAAACCUUGGCAGAACUGUGGGUUGUAGCAAGGUCGUGAUCAACUCGGACAGUCUGGAGAUAAUAGAAGCUCUGAGAGAUGGCAAUUCUUCUUCAGUGACAAGCGCAAUUAUUGAUGAUUGCUAUUUCAUGUCCUUGUAUUUUAAUCAUGCAUCUUAUGAUCAUUGUAAUAGAGAGUGUAAUAAAGUAGCACAUGAACUUUCUAGGCUGGUUAAUUUUUCUCCUCCUUCUGUAUGGAUGGAUUUUGCACCUGCGGAGGUGCUUCCAUUACUUGUAAAUGAUGUCAUGUUUUUGCUAGAGGAAUAA